rnacentral:rRNA from 1 species
UACGUAGGGGGCUAGCGUUGUCCGGAAUCAUUGGGCGUAAAGCGCGUGUAGGCGGUUCGGUAAGUCCGCUGUGAAAGUCGGGGGCUCAACCCUCGGAUGCCGGUGGAUACUGUCGGACUAGAGUGCGGAAGAGGCGAGUGGAAUUCCUGGUGUAGCGGUGGAAAUGCGCAGAUAUCAGGAGGAACACCGGUGGCGAAGGCGGGUCUCUGGGCAGUAACUGACGCUGGAGGAGCGAAAGCGUGGGGAGCGAACAGG